GUAACACGUAAACAACCUGCCUUCAGGAUGGGGACAACAGACGGAAACGACUGCUAAUACCGAAUAAGUUCCAAGAGCCGCAUGGCCCAUGGAAGAAAAGGUGGCCUCUACCUGUAAGCUAUCGCCUGAAGAGGGGUUUACGUCUGAUUAGCUGGUUGGAGGGGGUAACGGCCCACCAAGGCGACGAUCAGUAGCCGGUCUGAGAGGAUGAACGGCCACCACUGGAACUGAGACACGGUCCAGACUCCUACGGGAGGCAGCAUG
rnacentral:rRNA from 1 species